UGAGGAAUAUUGGUCAAUGGGCGAGAGUCUGAACCAGCCAAGUAGCGUGAAGGAUGACUGCCCUAUGGGUUGUAAACUUCUUUUAUAAAGGAAUAAAGUCGGGUAUGCAUACCCGUUUGCAUGUACUUUAUGAAUAAGGAUCGGCUAACUCCGUGCCAGCAGCCGCGGUAAUACGGAGGAUCCGAGCGUUAUCCGGAUUUAUUGGGUUUAAAGGGAGCGUAGAUGGAUGUUUAAGUCAGUUGUGAAAGUUUGCGGCUCAACCGUAAAAUUGCAGUUGAUACUGGAUAUCUUGAGUGCAGUUGAGGCAGGCGGAAUUCGUGGUGUAGCGGUGAAAUGCUUAGAUAUCACGAAGAACUCCGAUUUGCGAAGGCAGCCUGCUAAGCUGCAACUGACAUUGAGGCUCG
rnacentral:rRNA from 1 species